AGGAACUUAUAAAGAGCAAGACUGGUACAUUGUUCCAAGUCUUCUUAAAGACAAUGCUUGAUGGAUGUAAUGGAAGAUUUUCUUAGAGAAAAGCCGCGAACAAUGGUUCGAUACUUUAUGCAUUUUGAACAGACAUCAAUUGUACAAAUGCUUUUCCACAGACUGAUAAGUGCGGCACUUGGAAAAUGGGCUAUCCUAAAGUUUGGAAACAAACAGAUGUUGUUUAAAAAUCUUGCUGUUUUUAAACUCCAAGAAAGUCUUGCAGGCAUAGCAGAACUAAGAUAUUCUGGCAUAGAAUUACGGGUAGUGAGUCUGUGUAAAACCACGAUUGGAAAUCAAGUACCUGAUGGAUUUAGGCGUUUCAUAGAAGCCAUUGUUACUCAUGAAUUCAGAAAAUUAAAAUCACAGAUGGGUGACAAUGCCAAGCCGUUUUCGCAAAAAUACAGGUGUAACCACAAAAUUCACCACCUACAUGGUAGUCAUCAAAUAAGGGAUAUUUGUCUCCUUCAAGAGAAAAAUUCCGUGUUCUGUCCAGACAAUUAUACCCACAAGGAAGCUAGUAGUAGUGAAGCAAAGGCAGAAUGGUUUCAAGACGAAAACAUUGCAACUGUAUAUCCCAAAAAGAUCUUAACGGAGAAAGAUCUUAGUCAAUUGGCACAAGCAGCAAUCGGUAAAGGCUGGCAAUUGUUAGGAAUUGAACUUGGCAUAAAACAAGUUGAAAUAGACCAUAUCAUGGAAGAGAAUUCUCAGAUUGCCAUGAAGAUAUUUCAAAUGCUCCUGAAGUGGAAAGCAAAUUCCGAAGACAAUGCGACAUUAGACGUUCUGGCUGGAUCAAUACAAAAAUGUCCAUCGGUCACAGUUGAAUGGGAUGAACUUCGAAACAUCAAAGACGAAGAAAGUGGAAUAUUGAGGAGCGAUCAUUCAGUCAUUAGUCAACCUUUACAGGACCUUACUGUCAAAGAAAAUGAAAACAUGUUCUUGGAAUGUGCCGUUUCAAAACCAGAUGUUCAAGUAAUAUGGUUAAAAGAUAAUGAAGAAAUUUACACAGAGAUUCGUCGAAGGAAGUGCGUGGACAAGUAUUUACACCGACUGAUUGUUGAAGAUGUUAACACCACAGAUGCCGGUAUAUACAAAUGUGUCUUUGAAGACAGUUGUACAACGUGUACUGUCACAGUCGAAGAAAGACAAAAGCCAACUGAAUUCCUUCAGACGCUCUCGGACAUAUGUAUUGAAGACAAAUCUGGAUCUGCCAGUUUUCAAUGUAAAAUAAACAAAGUAAGUGUAGACGUCAAAUGGUACCAUGGAAGUCAGGCCUUAUCACCGUCAGAAAAAUAUCAGCUUUUUGAUGAAGGGCCUGUUCAUAUACUAAAGAUACUCAAUGUUACGGACACAGAUGAAGGCAUGUAUCAUAUCGUUGUUGAUGGACAAAUAUCCUCUGCUAUGCUCAAUAUAGAAGACACAGAAGAAGAAAGAGAAUUAAUUCGACAGUAUUUAGCAGAAAAACGCAAAUCUGAGCAUAAACAAACAAGUGAACGAGAUCCUGUGCCUGCACCCAAAACUCGUGCUGAAGAAAAUAUAUCGUAUGCCCAGGACCUGAAACGAAUGGGAGCAACUAUAUGUGUAGCAGCAAGUGAAAGACUGUGCGAAAAUACAAAAGAGCUGGCAGUAGAAAAAGGCGAAAUAUUACAGGUAUUAGACAAGUCUAGAAACUGGUGGAAUUUGCAGAAUUAUCAGGGGGAGACUGGCUACGCACCUUACACAAUAUUGAAGGAUUAUCAACCUUGGGAUGAGUUUUAUUAUGGUGGUGGUGGACAACAUGUGAGCGGAUAUUACAACAGUUAUAUGAACGGUGGCGCUCCACCGGCAGCAAAUCGAUCAGCAAGUCGCGGAGACACAGAAGAAGAAAGAGGCUUUAUUCGACAACAUUUAGCAGAGAAAUCUGAGUAUGUACUUUUUAGUACUGAUUAUUUGUCACUGACAUUAUAUUUAUUUGUUAAGCUCCCUUCUAUGCAAAUUUUAAUGUUUAUUUUAUAUGUAAGAGUUAUGAAACAUAACACAAAUGUUUUAAGAUGAUUUCCAGCGGGUACAUAUAUCGUUCCUUUUACUUUGUCUGGCGAAAGUGAGACGUCUGUUGAUUGUCAGAUACUAGGAUCAAGGAUUACAGUUGCAAAUAUGGUGAACAUCAGUCAAUGAUAUUGAUCAAUCGAUUAAUUACUUCUUUCUGUUUGGCUUUCCGUAGACGCAAAGUCAACAAAUGAACACUGAUCCAACGCUUUUUGGAAGAGUGACGAAAAACAUGUAAAACAACUUGGUCAUCAUACGCACUUCGAUUGCAACACUUAUUGUAAAGAUUCUGUCUUAAAAAAGAUCACCAUGCGUUGAUAUUAAACGAAGAUAUGUCAAACUGCAAUAAGUGUGUGUAAGCGACCGAAAUUAACGAGUUUACCUCCAGUCAUUGUUUAUAACCAGAAAUAUAAAGAUGCCAUUUUGUCCUUCCGUAAGUCCAUCCGUCUAUCUGUCUAUUCGUCCAUUCCAAGGGUUUUAUCUGAAUAACUUCUGCUGGAUUUCAAGGAAUUUUGCCGAAACAAUAAAACUUGUAUUACUAUGAAGUGACCUUGUUUAUAUUGUCAGGACAUGAAUACUAGUAUACUUGAUUCAAAUUCAUCAGUUUACAACCAGAGUUUCAAUCUUCUAGCACGUCCAAAAUUCAAUGCUAGAUCGAAAAUCAUUUUCGACUUCUGUUCAGAAAAUUGAAUAACAAUCUUCUAUCAAAGCUCGUUGUUAAUUAAUAGCAGAUCUUGAAAAUUUGAAUUUCUACAUUCCGACUGGCUAGAAAUGCAUUGCUAGAUUUUCAAAACGCCGCGCAAGCUCAAAUUAGAUUUAAGACAAGAUCGAAAUUAAGCUACAAUUGUAUUUUUAAAGGACCAUGUAUGAUAAGGCACAGUUUUAGCCCCCAAAUUUUGAAGAAAAUAAAAUUAAAACUACAUCUCAACGAUAUGAAUUAUUUGAAAGAUAAAGGAUUAAUCUUGCAUUUUAUAAAGAAAAAAUGCAACAGUUUUGCCUAAAAAGUCAUGAUACAUGGUCUAGUUUCAUGCCAUCAACAGAGAUUUUGUACAUUUUUAGACAUUUUCGUGCACUUUAUCACCAAAAUACGAUACGAGCGCAGGGGAGAACAAUUUUAAUUUUUGGAUAUGUUUUGAGGAUUGCAAAAACACGAAGAAUGAUACAUGAGAGAAAAUUGUUCUAAAGUGCGCUCGUAGUAAAUUUUGAACAAAUACGGUAUUUUCGUCGGAAAAUUCUACUCUAAAAAUAGCCAUGUAAAGGGACGAAACUCUUGAUCUCCUUGAAGAGCUUGGCGUAAAGGUAAAUAAAAACAUGUUGUGACGUAAUGCGGAAGUGAUAUCGGUUGCUUGAAAAAUGGAUUUUUGUCAAAUUACAGUGAACAAGUUAUUGUGAGAUAGUCUGAUUACUUUGGAGCUGCCAGAUUGUGUAUCAGGGGUUCCACUUGACCCAAAAACCCAAGAGUCCCAGGACCCUUGGGCCCAAAUUUUGAAAGGUCCUUUUCCAAAAUACAGGAGUCCUGUCCCAACACGUCAAUAUAAUUUACUAUAUUUUUUUAUUCAGUAAUACGUAGA
rnacentral:misc_RNA from 1 species